AACGAACGCUGGCGGCAGGCUUAACACAUGCAAGUCGAACGCCCCGCAAGGGGAGUGGCAGACGGGUGAGUAACGCGUGGGAACCUACCCAAUUCUACGGAACAACUGAGGGAAACUUCAGCUAAUACCGUAUACGCCUACGGGGAAGGAUUAUCGGAGUUGGAUGGGCCGCGUUGGAUUAGCUAGUUGGUGAGGUAACGGCUCACCAAGGCGACGAUCCAUAGCUGGUCUGAGAGGAUNAUCAGCCACACUGGGACUGAGACACGGCCCAGACUCCUAC
rnacentral:rRNA from 1 species